rnacentral:rRNA from 1 species
GACGAACGCUGGCGGCGUGCUUAACACAUGCAAGUCGAACGAAGUGGCGCACGGGUGAGUAACGCGUAAUCAACCUGCCCUUCAGAGGGGGACAACAGUUGGAAACGACUUCUAAUACCGCAUACUUGAGUUGGGGAUUGCGUCUGAUUAGCUCGUUGGCGGGGUAACGGCCCACCAAGGCGAUGAUCAGUAGGCGGUCUGGGAGGAUGAACGGCCACAAUGGGACUGGGACAAGGCCCAGACUCCUACGGGAGGCAGCAGGGGGGAAAUUUCCGCAAAGGACGAAAGUCUGACGGAGCAACGGCGCGUGAGUGAUGACGGCCUUCGGGUUGGAAAGCUCUUUUAAUCGGGACGCGGUACCGGAAUAGAAAGCAACGGCUAACUACGUGCCAGCAGCCGCGGUAAUAC